rnacentral:rRNA from 1 species
CUCGUAGGUGGUUGGUCACGUCUGCUGUGGAAACGCAACGCUUAACGUUGCGCGUGCAGUGGGUACGGGCUGACUAGAGUGCAGUAGGGGAGUCUGGAAUUCCUGGUGUAGCGGUGAAAUGCGUAGAGAUCUGGAGGAAUACCGGUGGCGAAGGCGGCCCCCUGGACGAAGACUGACGCUGAGGCGCGAAAGCGUGGGGAGCAAACAGGAUUAGAUACCCCGGUA